rnacentral:rRNA from 1 species
GACGAACGCUGGCGGCGUGCUUAACACAUGCAAGUGGAGCGACGAACCAGGGCUUGCCCUGGGGCAGAGCCGCGAACGGGUGAGUAACACGUGGGUUACCUGCCCCGAUGACCGGGACAACCCGAGGAAACUCGGGCUAAUACCGGGUGUGGUCUACGGACGAAAGGAAGCUUCGGCCUCCGCAUCGGGAUGGGCCCGCGGCGCAUUUAGCUUGUUGGUGGGGUAACGCCUACCAAGGCGACGAUGCGAGCUGGUCUGAGAGGACGAUCAGCCACACUGGACUGAGACACGGCCCAGACUCCUACGGGAGGCAGCAGUGGGGAAUCUU